rnacentral:rRNA from 1 species
ACGGGUGAGUAACACGUGGGUAACCUGCCCCUCACUCUGGGAUAACUCCGGGAAACCGGGGCUAAUACCGGAUACGACCUCCUUGGGCAUCCUUGGUGGUGGAAAGUUUUUCGGUGAGGGAUGGACCCGCGGCCUAUCAGCUUGUUGGUGGGGUAACGGCCUACCAAGGCUUUGACGGGUAGCCGGCCUGAGAGGGCGACCGACCACACUGGGACUGAGACACGGCCCAGACUCCUACGGGAGGCAGCAGUGGGGAAUAUUGCACAAUGGGCGAAAGCCUGAUGCAGCGACGCCGCGUGAGGGAUGACGGCCUUCGGGUUGUAAACCUCUUUCAGCAGGGACGAAGCGCAAGUGACUGUACCUGCAGAAGAAGCACCGGCUAACUACGUGCCAGCAGCCGCGGUAAUACGUAGGGUGCGAGCGUUGUCCGGAUUUAUUGGGCGUAAAGAGCUUGUAGGCGGCUCGUCGCGUCGGGUGUGAAAACUUGCGGCUUAACCGCAAGCCUGCACCCGAUACGGGCGGGCUAGAGUUCGGCAGGGGAGACUGGAAUUCCUGGUGUAGCGGUGGAAUGCGCAGA